GGGGAUAUAGUUCAGGGGCAGAGCAUUUGACUGCAGACCAAGAGGUCCCUGGUUCAAAUAUGGGUGCCCCCU
rnacentral:tRNA from 1 species